GCCAGGCGUGGUGGUGCGUGCCUGUAAUCCCAGCAGCUCAGGAGGCUGAGGCAGGAAGAUCACAAGUUCAAAGCCAGCCUCAACAAUAUAGUGAGGCCCUGAACAACUCAGUGAGAACCUGUCUCUA
rnacentral:sRNA from 1 species